rnacentral:rRNA from 1 species
UACGGGGGGGGCUAGCGUUGUUCGGAAUUAUUGGGCGUAAAGGGCGCGCAGGCGGCCCAGCAAGUCGGUAGUGAAAGCCCUCGGCUCAACCGGGGAAUUGCUAUUGAAACUGCUGGGCUUGAGUCCCGGAGAGGGUGGUGGAAUUCCCAGUGUAGCGGUGAAAUGCGUAGAUAUUGGGAGGAACACCUGUGGCGAAGGCGGCCACCUGGACGGGUACUGACGCUGAGGCGCGAAAGCGUGGGUAGCAAACAGG